rnacentral:rRNA from 1 species
GAUGAACGCUGGCGGCGUGCCUAAUACAUGCAAGUCGAGCGAACAGACGAGGAGCUUGCUCCUCUGACGUUAGCGGCGGACGGGUGAGUAACACGUGGAUAACCUACCUAUAAGACUGGGAUAACUUCGGGAAACCGGAGCUAAUACCGGAUAAUAUAUUGAACCGCAUGGUUCAAUAGUGAAAGACGGUUUUGCUGUCACUUAUAGAUGGAUCCGCGCCGCAUUAGCUAGUUGGUAAGGUAACGGCUUACCAAGGCAACGAUGCGUAGCCGACCUGAGAGGGUGAUCGGCCACACUGGAACUGAGACACGGUCCAGACUCCUACGGGAGGCAGCAGUAGGGAAUCUUCCGCAAUGGGCGAAAGACUGACGGAGCAACGCAGCGUGAGUGAUGAAGGUCUUCGGAUCGUAAAACUCUGUUAUUAGGGAAGAACAAAUGUGUAAGUAACUAUGCACGUCUUGACGGUACCUAAUCAGAAAGCCACGGCUAACUACGUG